AACAGGCACGGGGCGAAGAGGGGUGGAAAGACUUUAUGGAGCGAAGCUCGAAUAGCUCGUGGACGGCUUCUAACUGAGCUUGAACGUUGUGGUGUGUGCUCGGCUCGUGCUCAAUCCGAGGCUGCUUUAUUUAUUUAUUUAUUUAUUUAUUAUUAUUAUUAUUAUUUUUAUUUUUUAAUAAUCGUGGGCUUCCUCUUUUGCCGAAACAUAAAUUGUUCUUUUUUUCUGAAUUUGCAGACACAAAGGCCAAACAGUACUGAAGAUAGAGAUCUAAGCUUCGACUUGGAAAGUUUAAUUUGGCUGUUUGGUUGUUUUGCGCCUCUAUUUUUUCAAUUCUAGAUGAAUUUGGAGAUCCAUUACCAAAACACCAUAAAGGGAAAUGCAUAAAUAACUUGGGGGUGUUUGAAUGUCUGUAUUUGCAGACACAAAGGCCAAACAGUACUGAAGAGAGAGAUCUUGUAGGCUCCACAGGGUUGGUAAUACCCCUGUUAAUUAAUUGUUGGUGAUGGAGGCAAUGGCAAGGGCAAGGGCAAGGGCAAGGGCAAGGGUUUCAUCCACUCAAUCUCAAAUGGACGGUGAGGCUUCAUCCACGUCCCCGCCUGUUCCAAGAGGAGGAGGCGGCGAAUACGAAGUGUUUUUGAGUUUCAGAGGCCCAGACACUCGACUCACCUUCACCGAUUUCCUCUACACCAAUCUUGACAGUGUAGGAGUUCGCACUUUCCGAGACGACGAGGAGUUACGAAAAGGAGAAGAGAUCUGGCCAGAGCUCCUCAAAGCAAUCGGAGAGUCACAGAUCUCCAUCCCAAUAUUCUCCAAAAACUACGCUUCCAGUAAAUGGUGCCUCCGUGAGCUCGCUCAGAUGGUGGAUUGCAAGAGAAUCACCGGACAAUCCAUUUUACCCAUCUUCUAUGAUGUUGAACCUUCCGAGGUUCGGCAUCAAUCUGGGAGUUAUGGGGAAGCCUUUCGCGUGCACGAGACGUGUUUUGAUGAAAUCACUCUUGUGAAAUGGAGAGAGGCACUCAAAGAGGUUGGAGCACUCAAAGGUUGGCAAGUCAACAAAGAAGCUGAUGGGCAUCAAGGACAACUAGUAGAAAGGAUUGUUCAAACAGUAUUGUUGGACUUAAAGAAGAAAUAUAUGGACCUUACAACUGACAAGUUGGUCAUGAUGGAUCAUCAUUUAAAUGAAAUGAUGAAAUAUUUAGAUGUUGGCUCCAAUGAUAAACGGAUUGUUGGUAUCUAUGGCAUGGGUGGUAUUGGCAAGACAACUAUUGCCAAAUUCAUCUACAACCAACUCUUGGUGUGCUUUGAUUGUAGUAGCUUCCUCGCAGAUGUUCGAGAAACAGUGCAACAAUAUAAAGGUGUUGUUGAUUUGCAGAACCAGCUACUCACUGACACUCUUAGACGGCAAUCUCACAUUACCAAUUUUAAUGAUGGAAUCGAAACUAUCAAGCAUCGAUUUCGCAAAAAGAAAGUUCUCAUUGUUCUUGACGAUGUGAAUGAAAAGUCUCAAUUUGAUUGGCUUGUGGGAAAUCGUGAUUGGUUUGGUCCAGGAACUAGGAUCAUCGUUACAACUAGAAACAAGCAUGUUUUAAAUACACUUGAAGUGAAUGAGACUUAUGAACCCCCAUUUAUGAACCCUGAGCAAUCUCUUCAACUUCUCAGCAUUCAUGCUUUCCGGAAAAGGGUUCCUCGAACAGACUAUAAUGGUAUCUCUAGAAAGGUUGUGUCGGUUACUGCAGGGCUUCCUUUAGCUCUUGAGGUUAUAGGUUCAUUUCUAUCUGACAAGCCGAAAAAAAUAUGGGAAGAUACAUUGAAGAAAUUGAAGAAUAUACCAAAUGAUAAAGUUCAGGAGAAGUUGAGAGUAAGUUAUGAUGAAUUAAACCAUCAGCAAAAGCAGAUAUUUCUUGAUAUUGCAACUCUUUUUAUUGGGAUGGAUAAAACAUAUCCAUUUUACAUGUGGGAUGAAUGUGGCUAUUAUCCAGAGACGGAAAUUAGUGUCCUUUGUCUCAUGUCUCUUGUAAAAAUUGAUAAUGAUAAUGUGCUGAAAAUGCAUGAUCAACUAAGAGAUCUCGGUAGAGCAAUCGUCUGUCAAGAAAAUCCGGAGAAUGUAGGAAUGCAAAGUAGGUUAUGGGAUAAAGAGGAAGCCUUGGAUGUCCUGGAGGGACAAACGGGAACGGAUAACGUCCAGCUCCUAAGUCUUGGACCUGGUAUUUAUGGAAGGCCUUGUGACCAUUACAAAUUCCCGGAACUAUCUAAUCUGAGGUAUCUUCAAGUAGAUGGAGCACAACUUGUUGGGGAUUUCAAGCAUCACUUCUCAAGAUUAAGAUGGCUUCGUUGGCAAUAUUGCCCUCCACAUUUUGAAGCAACCAAUUUUCAUAUGAGAAAACUAGUCAUACUUGAUCUAUCACAUAGUUUCAUCACAAAAAACUGGAACGGUUGGAGUCAAAUUAAGAUGGUAAAAAACUUAAAAGUGCUCGACAUUUCAUUCACUGAAAUACGGGAGCUACCUGAUGAAAUUUGGAUGUUAAAGAUGCUGGAAAUUAUAGAUGCACGUCACUCUAGAUUGACGGGUAACAUUCCAAGUGACAUUUGGAAAUUAUCGUCUUUGAGAUACAUAAACUUUAAUUCUACCAGAAUUCGAAGCCUACCAACAAGCAUUUGCAAGCUUUCUUACCUCCAAACCCUUGACUUAGGAGACUGCUGUGAUCUCGAAACACUGCCAGAGCUUCCCUCAUGUUUAGAAUUUCUGAAUGUCUAUUUGUUCAAAUUGCAUGUUAUCCCUAAUCUUGCAAAUCUGGUUAAUCUGCAAGAGCUGCUGUGUAAUUAUGACAACAUGACUCACACAAAGCUUGUGGAGUUCUUCAGAGGUAUUGAUAAACUAUCCAAUUUGCAGAGGUUGGACUUUGGAUUUAGCAACAUUAUGACCUUACCGAAAGAGAUUGAUUCCCUUUCUCGGCUCAAAAUUCUCAAUCUAGAAUCAUGUGAUGAACUUCAAUGUAUUUUGGGUUUACCUCCCAGUCUGGUUGGAUUACAUAUUGUUGGUGGUCAGUCAUUGGAAAUAUUACCAGAUCUGUCAAAUUUGAAGGUUUUGCAGGAAUUGACUCUUUAUGCAUGCCAUAAGCUGACAAAGAUUCAAGGGCUUGGGAAACUGGAAUCAUUGAGAAGUUUGAGAAUAGAAUGUUGCCUUAAUCUGAAAGAGAUUGAAGGACUUGGAGAUCUGGAAUUGCUGGAAAGUUUGACAAUAGAUAGGUGCGUUGAGUUGACAGAGAUUCAAGGACUUGGAAAACUAGAAUCACUGGCAAGUUUUUGUAUACGUUGGUGCUCUAAAAUAGCUGAACUUGAUCUGCUCGAAUGUUCGGCAUCUCUAGCGUCCUCACUUGAUCUGCUCGAAUGUUCGGCAUCUCUAGCGUCCUCAGAGAUGAGUGGGUACGAACACCCAGAAAAUAAACCAGAUCUGUCCAACUUAAACAAGUUAAUUUUUUUUGAAGCUAUUGGUUGCAAGAAUCUCAAUAAGAUCAAAGGACUACAUACAUUGGUGUCAUUGGAAUAUUUGAAUUUGUCGGAUUGCCCAUCCAUAGAAAGAUUGCCCAAUCUGUCAAACUUGAAAAUGUUGAGACGCUUUCAUUCAUGCAUGAGCUCAUGUGAGAUUGAGGGUCUUGAGGCUUUGGUAGCUUUGGAGGAACUGGACAUCACAGGGUGCACAUCACUGGAAGUAAGUACCGCAUCUGCCAAACACACACAUUCAGAAAAUUUGGGAUCAAAACUUUAUUCCAAGUAUUGGUUUGGAUGAUAAUAAUAUGAUGUGAGGUUUCAUACUGGAGACUUGCGGGAAUAAUCAAACAUCAGUGAAGAGCAUGUAGCAAAAGAAUACUCCUAAUAAGAAAGGGUAAAUGCUGUCAUGAGUGGACAAUCAAAAUAUUAGCCCUCUGGAAGAUCUCCGAAAGGAGCAUGGGUGGUUAGGAACAGCUAUGAGGUCGUCCAGAAACAAUACAUGGAGGUAAGUGAAUGACAAUGCAUAUACACUAGCUGGCUAUUGUGAGCUGUUUGUUUCUCAUCCUCUUCUCCUCAUUGUUUCAGUACUCGAUUGGUCUUUCCCUGUUCCUAUAUGGUUUGAGAACGAAGCUAAAUGCUUUGCUUCUAUACCUAUAUAUAGAGGUAUUUAUCCCCAAAAUAAGCUAACUCAGCCAAAUAAGCAGAAAUGAAGCAAUUCUGGGAUGAAUCAAAGAAAUGAGCAAAGUAGAGCAAAAGGAAGCAAAUGGUGAAAUUUCAGCAACUUCGAUCGAUCUCAAUAAAAGUUCGAUCGAUCCAACUUUCAUCGAUCUCAGCACUUCAAGAUAGAUCCAGGCCAUGAUGUCCUCUUCAGAGAUCCCAAAAGUUCGAUAGAUCCAACAUCAUUCUCUGAUCAAUCGAACUUUCUUGUCCUUAUCCACAUGUCAGAUCUUAUCCAGCUGUACCACCAUAUCAACCACUUUUAUCCUUUUCCCAAAAAUAUCUUUAAAAUAUCUCAGAUUUGUUUUUAUCCAAAAAGGUGCCUCCAUUGAGGAUCGAUCCAGCUUCAAUUCGAUAGAUCUCAGCCAUGUUCGAUCGAUCUCACUUCCCAAAUCCCGAGAAAAAUUUAAAUUCCAGCUCAUUAAAAGUUAUCUCAUAUCCAAUCAUUAGAGGAUUAUUGGUGUACGAGCCUAGCUCAUUUGGGGUGAUUUUUGACCUACAUAUAUAAGGAAUAUGAGCCACUUUUACACAUAUACACAUACUUAGAGAAAAUAAUACUUAGUAAGGAAGCAAAGGAGAGGAGGAGGUUAGAGACACCAUUGGAGACUCUUCAUCAACCAAGGAGCAGAUUUCUUCCAUGGAGCUUGCCCUUGAGAGGUGGAGGACAUCAUCCAUGAGUGGCUAGACCUAAGCAUGCUUUUUACUUCUUGAUUUAUGUAUUUUUGAGGGGAUUUGUAUUAUGAUUCAUGUCUUGACACUUUUAUAUAUAUAGAUCUUGUUUAUUCAAUGAUU